rnacentral:pre_miRNA from 1 species
GAAUUACUUCCUCCGUUCAAAAAUACUUGUCCUAGAAAUAGAUGUAUUAGACUUAUUUUAAUUAUAGAUACAUCCAUUUUAUAUAUUUUUAGGACAAGUAUUUUCGGACGGAGGGAGUAUUUU